GGCACGACUUGCCCACCGUGGAGUCCCCGAUCACGAUGAGGCGGAACUGAGCUCACUGGGCGCCGAUGGGAAAGUGGGUGUGGUGAAGGGACGUGACAGGAGCAACAGCCAAUGGGAAUGAAGUAAGGGCUUCAUUCCAGGACGGCCAGCCAAUGAAAAGCUUGGCCAGCCCUGGGGCCUCCGUCACCGCCCGGGUUUCCGAAGGUUCUGGUUGCGCCUUCCUGCUCUUCUCGUCUUGCUGAGCGUCACUCCGAGGCGUCCUGAGGGGCAGGGGUUGGAGAACCCGAAGGAAGUCAAUUUUCAGAGCAGGUUCUGGAUGCUUCCGGAAGGGCCUUGGCCGCCGCUCCCGCCGCCGGCAUCUUUUCCUCACCGCGUUCAGUGCCACAGAAGAGGGAGAAAAAGGGCAGGUAUCAUCUCCAGCCCGGGAAAGGAGAGGAGAAAGAAAAGUGAAAUAUGGAGAGACUCAAAAAAAGAUCCCAUUCUUCUCCGUCUCUGUUCUGUAAAUCAGAACAAUGUUUAAAAAAAGAUCCCAUUCUUCUCCGUCUCAACUUAGCUUGUCUGGUCAGGGAUCUAA